ensembl:lncRNA
GUAGUUUUAGUGUUGUUGCUGUAGUUUUAGUGUUGUUGCAGUAGUUUUAGUUUUGUUGCUGUAGUUUUAGUGUUGUUGCAGUAGUUUUAGUUUUGUUGCUGUAGUUUUAGUGUUGUUGCUGUAGUUUUAGUGUUGUUGUGGUGUUUUUAGUUUUGUUGCUGUAGUUUUAGUUUUGUUGCAGUAGUUUUAGUUUGUUUUGUUGCAGUAGUUUUAGUUUUUUUGUUGUAGUUUUAGUUUGUUUUGUUGCAGUAGUUUUAGUUUGUUUUGUUGCAGUAGUUUUAGUUUGUUUUGUUGCAGUAGUUUUAGUUUGUUUUGUUGCAUUUUAGUUUGUUUUGUUGCAGUAGUUUUAGUUUGUUUUGUUGCAGUAGUUUUAGUUUGUUUUGUUGCAGUAGUUUUAGUUUGUUUUGUUGCAGUAGUUUUAGUGUUGUUGCAGUAGUUUUAGUGUUGUUGCAGUAGUUUUAGUUUUGUUGCUGUAGUUUUAGUGUUGUUGCUGUAGUUUUAGUGUUGUUGCUGUAGUUUUAGUGUUGUUGCUGUAGUUUUAGUGUUGUUGCAGUAGUUUUAGUUUUGUUGCAGUAGUUUUAGUUCUGUUGCAGUAGUUUUAGUUUUGUUGUAGUUUUAGUUUGUUUUGUUGCAGUAGUUUUAGUUUUGUUGCAGUA